AUUGAACGCUGGCGGCAGGCCUAACACAUGCAAGUCGAGCGAGCGGCGGACGGGUGAGUAAUGUAUGGGGACUGCCUGAUAGAGGGGGAUAACUACUGGAAACGGUGGCUAAUACCGCAUAAGAUCGGAUAACCCAUACGGAUUUAGCUAGUCGGGUGGGGAAAGGCUCACAUCGGCGACGCUACCUAGCUGGUCUGAGAGGAUGAUCAGCCACACUGGGACUGAGACACGGCCCAGACUCCUCCGGAGGCAGCAGUGGGGAAUCUUGCACAAUGGGCGAAAGCCGGAUGCAGCUAUGCCGCGUGUAUGAAGAAGGUCUUAGGGUUGUAAAGUACUUUCAGUGGGGAGGCGUUACCCGCAGAAUAAGCACCGGCUAACUCCGUGCCAGCCGCCGCGGUAAUAC
rnacentral:rRNA from 1 species